rnacentral:lncRNA from 1 species
AUAUAUAUAUAUAUUGAAGAAGAAAAAAAAAAAUUCUGUAAUAAUUGUAAAUCGUGCGCGAGUACAGGGAAUAAUCGUGAUUCCCGUACGCGCGUAUUACUGAGCGUAUUCUACUCGUCAUUCGGGGGAAAAAGGAAAAAACGAGGAUAAGGAAAAAAAGAAAAAAGUAAAGAAAAAGCGACGAAAUAAUAAUAGGUAAAUAAAAUAGAAAGAAAAGAAAAAAGAAAAGGAAAACAAAAAGAGUGAAAAAGAGGGAGGGGAAAGAGAGAAAUUCGAAACAAUGAAUAUGAAAAAAAGAAGAGAGAAAGAAAGAAAGAAAGAAAUCGGCGCGACUGUCAGACUGAAAGUUUUGUGAUUUUGCAUGGCAUGUGUACAUAGGAUGAAACCGAGAAAAAGAGGAAAUGAAGGAAAACAAAAGAGCCUCUAUGUGUAGAUUCAACGUGUAGGUGAGAAAGGUUUAAAAAGAAACAAAAAAAAAAAAAGAAAGAAAGAAAGGGGAAAAAAAAAAAGAAAAGUAACAAGGGAAAAGAAGAAGAAUCGUUAUACCGUUGCAUUUUCGUGUGCGACGUAACCUAAAAAAAAAAAAGUGGUGGUGAGAAUGAACCGGAAGGCGAGCAAGAGAGAACGAAAGAUAACGAGCGUUUCGUUGUAUGAGAGAGAGAGAGAGAGUGAGAGAAACGAGGACGAAUAUAUACGUGUGCAUGUCGAGAUAAAAGAAGAAAAAAAAAAGAGAUGAAGGAACCAAAUCGACGCGAAAUUCCUUUCCUUCAACCACCAUUCUAUAAACCUACUACCUGUGAAAUAGAGAAUCUAGAGAGAGAGAGAAAUAGAGAGAGAGAGAGAGAGAGAGAGAGAAUGUUUGCUAUCACCCUUUCGUUCUUUUUCACUUUCGUUACGAUCCGUGGAGCUCCUCCUCAGCAUCAUCUCGCUUCUUUCUCUUCCUUUUUACUUCCGUUCCUUCGUUUAUACUUCGUUGCGACACUCUAUCUAUAUAUAUAUAUGCACAGAGAGACAAAACAAAAGAAAAAACACACACAUACAUACACAAUAAUAAUAAUACAGAGAGAGAAAGAGAGAGAGUGAGAGAGUGAGAGAGAGAGAGAGAGAAGGUGAGGUCGGAAGAGAAGUGAAUUGAAUCUAGCUAGACCUAACCUCUAAGAGCUAGACCUAAGGGCGUGGUUAUAUAUAUGUAUAUCUGAUCAGACGAUGAUAACUGUGCCACGGAUUUGGAGCUUUCUGUGUCGCAUCGUUGACCUGUGGCGAUGUCGACUACGAGGAUACGUUGAUGACGGGGAAACGGGGUCAACCCUGCGCCGGAUGAUCAUCCAGCUGUCUGUUUUUGUCGCUCCGUUUCACGUUGGCUCAACGUAUUCUCGUGUUUGGCCGUGGUCGAUGUUGGUCGUUCGGCUCGUGUGAUCGAUCGUGGCUCUGUGAUGAUCGUUUUUCGCCGUUUGCCGUUCGCGAUUAAUAUCCUCGACCUGAGCAAGGUUGCUAGGUGCCAAGACUAAACGACACACGGCAAUCUCGAUACGAUAAAGUCGACAUUUGCGAUUCCGAAAGAAUUUGUUUGUCGCUUUUAACACGAUUCAAUAAUUAAUACGAUACCGCAAUCAUUGUAUACUUGUGGGAAAUAUGGAAGGCGUUGUUACGUUAUCAUUAGUGCUAGUGUAUCAUCGAGUCUAAAGAUCGUGAUUGAGGUUACAUAUAUAUAUAUAUAUAUAUAUAUGUAUAGAAGUGUAGAAUUAAAAGUAAAAUUAAAUUUUGCAAAAUAAAACAAUGUUUCGUUAUGUAAUUAUCGAAGAAAUGGAAAUGGAGAUAUACUUAUAAUUUUACAUUUUGAAUAUCAUUUUUCACUGAAUUGACGGGUUUCCGUUAUGUUUAACGAGAUACCGACAUUGAUAAUAUUUUCACCAUUUAUUUUCAUUAUCGUUCACACCAUCGUCGUUUCUUCCAUCCAUUUUCAUUACAUUUUCAAUUUUCCACGCAACAGUGAAGUAAUCACCGAGAACUCAACGCCUUGAUUAACCUCUUGACGACGAGUGACGCGAGAUCGAAAUUCCAGAUAGAAUCAAAGGCAAAUCCAAUAACGUUCAUAUUAAUAUAACAACUUAACAUUAAUUAUUACAUCAUUAUUCUCAUUCAAAAAGUUUAAAAAUGUAAAAUUCAAAAUUACAAAUUAUAUAUAGUAUUUAUUUAAAGGUUAUUUAAAUUUAUUUGCUUUGAAAUUUUGUUUCAAAGUUCGAAUUUCAAAAUUCAUUCGUUUGAGUUGGAUUGGGUUGUCUUUCAAAGACAAGACUGAGAUAAGAUAAAUUUUGUAAAGUUAAAAAAAAAUAAAAAAAGAAAAAUUACCAGAGACGAUGUUUUUCAAUUUUCGAGUUUACAAUGAAAAUAUUUCUAUUUAUUUUCAAUUUUCCCUUAUUUUAUUUGAAAGAACGUUGGCAAAGUUGGUACAAUAACAUUUCGCAAUUUCCCCAAUAUUAUUCCGCGUUUCAGCGGGCAGAAUAUUUCGCUGUGUUAUUUCAAUUUAAAAUUUUUAGUUUUCCUAGUAGAGAGAUUUAAUAGCAUUGACACCCUGCUAUUUUGAUUUUUGACUCGCGUCAGAUUUCCAUCGACGCGCCUUGCACAUGACGGAUGCUUUUAAAAAUUCCCCAUAUCCAUAUAUGUAACGCAUUAUAAAAACGUUUUCCAUUGAUGUCGAUUCCUGUCGUUGUGGUUUUCGCGAUAUAUUUCUACACACCCACACAUGGUACACUUAACGUCGCACAGUAGAAUAUCAAUAAAUUUCGAACAUACGUUUUCCUCUUUUUUUUUUCUUUGGAAUUUAUCAAUUUAAAAAUUUAUUAUAUAUUUUUAAAAUUUUUAAAAAAAUUUCCUUCGAGUGUAAAUAUUUAUUAUAGAUAUAUUCAGCAAAAGUCUUCUACUUACUCAUCAACUCUUUUUAUCAACGAAUAUAUUUAUUUUUUCUAAAGACACGAUUUUGAUUCAAUAAUUAAUAGAUAAUUCCUCAGAAAAAAAAGAAAAAAUAAUGAGUAAUCGAAUUAACCUUGUUAAAUUUCAAAUAUGAGAUCCACAAGUUCGUAAUAAUUCGAUUAGAUUAUGUAAUUGUAAAUAACUGUAAUUAUUUCCUUUCGUGAAAACAUUCUCUCCUCUUUUUAACACUCGAUACAAAAUUUUUUACAAAUAUUAUCGAGCCUCCAAUUAUAAACAUGCUUCGUAAAUUUUUACAAUUUUAUUUCCAGUAUUUAAAAAAAAAAAAAAAAUAGAAACUUUACACUCCUUUUCCUCUAAUUCUUUCAUACGUGUUCAUACGCAAUAUGCAGAAAGGGGUGAGCAAUUUAUUUUCGGAAAAAUUAUCUCGAAAAAAAAAA